CGGUAUGUAGCUUAAUAGGUGGAGCAGAGUCUUGAUAAGGCUAAGGAUAUUGGUUCAAUUCCAAUCUUACUGA
rnacentral:tRNA from 1 species